AGACUACCUGCUGAACUUAAGCAUAUCAGUAAGCGGAGGAAAAGAAAACAACUGUGAUUCCCUUAGUAACGGCGAGUGAAGCGGGAAAAGCCCAUCGUUUAAUCUCUCUAGGCCAAGCUUAGAGCGAGUUGUAACGGUAUGGAUUGACAUUCUAGCGUGGCGUGCUGACCAAAGUUCUCCGGAUUGAGACGCCAGAGAGGGUGACAGCCCCGUAGAUGGUCAGUACAAUACGUGUACGUUGUCAACUCCUAGAGUCGGGUUGUUUGGGAUUGCAACCUAAAGUAGGUGGUAAACUCCAUCUAAGGCUAAAUAUAGACACGAAACCGAUAGCGAACAAGUACCGUGAGGGAAAGUUGAAAAGAACCCUGAAAAGAGAGUUAAAAGUACGUGAAACCGCUAACGGGGAAGCGGAAGGCAGUGUCGAGACUGUGUGUGGUGGACGGCCAACUAAGGACGUUAGCUGCGCAUGGUGCGUCAGGCCUGCUGGUGGGCGUGUGGAAAUUUAACAUGGCAUUCAUAGAUUCGUAAGAAACUAUGUUUGCGGUUUUGUGAAAACACGUGUGCUGGCAUGAUUGUAGAGAAGCGUUGUUGGCUACACUUUGGUGAGGUCGGUUAAUGCUUGUAUGUGCUGCUUAGUGUCUAAAGUUUGGACGUUAAGUAGUAGCAUGCAAGGUU
rnacentral:rRNA from 1 species